rnacentral:rRNA from 1 species
GACGAACGCUGGCGGCGUGCUUAACACAUGCAAGUCGAACGGAAAGGCCCUGCUUGCAGGGUACUCGAGUGGCGAACGGGUGAGUAACACGUGGGUGAUCUGCCCUUCACUUCGGGAUAAGCCUGGGAAACUGGGUCUAAUACCGGAUAUGACCUUCCAUGUAGUGUGGGGGGUGGAAAGAUUUAUCGGUGUGGGAUGAGCCCGCGGCCUAUCAGCUUGUUGGUGGGGUAAUGGCCUACCAAGGCGUCGACGGGUAGCCGGCCUGAGAGGGUGGACGGCCACAUUGGGACUGAGAUACGGCCCAGACUCCUACGGGAGGCAGCAGUGGGGAAUAUUGCACAAUGGGCGGAAGCCUGAUGCAGCGACGCCGCGUGGGGGAUGACGGCCUUCGGGUUGUAAACCUCUUUCGACAGGGACGAAGCUUAGGUGACGGUACCUGUAGAAGAAGCACCGGCUAACUACGUG